rnacentral:rRNA from 1 species
UGUUGUUUUCUCGAAAAUCAAUUAAAAAAGGCAGGAUUUUGUGUUGUAUUGACUUUAUCAGCUUUCUGCACUCUUUUCUUGUCUUUUUUAAUGCACUUUUCGUUUAACAAGUCAACAUCAAUUUCUUUUGUUGUAAAAGGGUCAUUGGAAGGUGGCUUUCUUUUCGGAGAAAGUGUUUAUAGCCUUUGGCCUCUGCAAUCGGAGAGAUUGAGGUCUGCAGCGUAGAUCCUUCGGGGUUAGAUACAUUUGUGCUAAGUUAUAGCCUUUCAUAGACAACUUGUUGACUAUGAUCGGUCAUGUAGCUUACUCGCUUAUGCUAUUUUACCUAC